UACGGAGGGUGCGAGCGUUGUCCGGAAUCAUUGGGCGUAAAGGGCGCGUAGGUGGCCUGCUAAGCGUGCGGUGAAAGUCGGGGCUCAACCCCCGAUCGGCCGUGCGAACUGGGAGGCUUGAGCACUGUAGAGGCAGGCGGAAUUCCGGGUGUAGCGGUGGAAUGCGUAGAGAUCCGGAAGAACACCGGUGGCGAAGGCGGCCUGCUGGGCAGUUUGCUGACACUGAGGCGCGACAGCGUGGGAGCAAACAGG
rnacentral:rRNA from 1 species